AAUUUUUGACAAUGGGGGAAACUCUGAUCCAGCCAGCCCGCGUGUAUGAUGAAGGCCUUCGGGUUGUAAAGUACUUUUGGCAGCUACGAAAAGGUAUCCCCUAAUACGGGAUACUGCUGACGGUAUCUGCAGAAUAAGCACCGGCCAACUACGUGCCAGCAGCCGCGGUAAUACGUAGGGUGCAAGCGUUAAUCAGAAUUACUGGGCGUAAAGCAUGUGUAGGCGGUUCGACAAGAAAGAUGUGCAAUACCGGGGCUCAACCUUGGAACUGCAUUUUAAACUGCCGGGCUAGAGUGUGUCAGAGGGGGGUAGAAUUACACGUGUAGCAGUGAAAUGCGUAGAUAUGUAGAGGAAUACCAAUGGAGAAGGCAGCCCCCUGGGAUAAUACUGUCGCUCAGACACGAAAGCGUGGGGAGCAAACAGG
rnacentral:rRNA from 1 species